GCCAGCUUAGCUCAGUUGGUAGAGCAACGCACUCGUAACGCGUAGGUCGUAGGUUCAACUCCUAUAGCUGGCA
rnacentral:tRNA from 1 species